rnacentral:tRNA from 1 species
GCCUUCAUAGCUUAAUGGUAAAGCAUAAUACUGUUAAUAUUUAAGAUGGUUGUUCGAAUCAACCUGUAGGCU